UGAACGCUGGCGGCGUGCCUAACACAUGCAAGUCGAACGAAGCACGUAGACGGAACCUUCGGGUGACGUAUGGUGACUGAGUGGCGGACGGGUGAGUAACGCGUGGGUAACCUGCCCUGUACAGGGGGAUAACAGUUAGAAAUGACUGCUAAUACCGCAUAAGCGCACGAUGGUAGCAUUACCAGGUGUGAAAAACUCCGGUGGUACAGGAUGGGCCCGCGUCUGAUUAGCUAGUUGGCGGGGUAAGAGCCCACCAAGGCGACGAUCAGUAGCCGGUCUGAGAGGAUGAACGGCCACAUUGGAACUGAGACACGGUCCAAACUCCUACGGGAGGCAGCAGUGGGGAAUAUUGCACAAUGGGGGGAACCCUGAUGCAGCAAAACCGCCGCGUGAGUGAAGAAGUAUUUCGGUAUGUAAAGCUCUAUCAGCAGGGAAGAUAAUGACGGUACCUGACUAAGAAGCUCCGGCUAAAUACGUGCCAGCAGCUGC
rnacentral:rRNA from 1 species